GUAGGGGGCAAGCGUUGUCCGGAAUUAUUGGGCGUAAAGAGCGUGUAGGCGGUCCGGUAAGUCGGCUGUGAAAGUCCAGGGCUCAACCCUGGGAUGCCGGUCGAUACUGCCGGACUAGAGUUCGGAAGAGGCGAGUGGAAUUCCCGGUGUAGCGGUGAAAUGCGCAGAUAUCGGGAGGAACACCUAUGGCGAAGGCAGCUCGCUGGGACGUUACUGACGCUGAGACGCGAAAGCGUGGGGAGCAAACAGGAUUAGAUACCCUGGUAGUCCACGCCGUAAACGAUGGGCACUAGGUGUGGGAGGUGUCGACUCCUCCCGUGCCGGAGCUAACGCAUUAAGUGCCCCGCCUGGGGAGUACGGCCGCAAGGCUAAA
rnacentral:rRNA from 1 species